CACGUAGGGCGCGAGCGUUGUCCGGGAAUUAUUGGGCGUAAAGAGCUCGGUAGGCGGCCUGUUGCGUCCGCUGUGGAAAGCCCCGGGGCUUAACCCCGGGUCGGCAGUGGGAUACGGGCAGGCUAGAGGUGAGGUAGGGGAGAAUGGAAUUCCCGGUGUAGCGGUGAAAUGCGCAGAUAUCGGGAGGAACACCGGUGGCGAAGGCGGUUCUCUGGGCCUUACCUGACGCUGAGGAGCGAAAGCUAGGGGAGCGAACGGG
rnacentral:rRNA from 1 species